rnacentral:rRNA from 1 species
CGGUGACAGGUGGUGCAUGGUUGUCGUCAGCUCGUGUCGUGAGAUUGUUGGGUUUAAGUCCCCGCAACGAGCGCAACCCCUAUUGUUAGUUGCCAUCAUUCAGUUGGGCACUCUAGCGAGACUGCCGGUAAUAACCGGAGGAAGUGGGAUGACGUCAAAUCAUCAUGCCCCUUAUGACCUGGGCUACACACGUGCUACAAUGGUUGGUACAACGAGUUGCGAGUCGGUGACGGCGAGCUAAUCUCUUAAAGCCAAUCUCAGUUCGGAUUGUAGGCUGCAACUCGCCUACAUGAAGUCGGAAUCGCUAGUAAUCGCGGAUCAGCACGCCGCGGUGAAUACGUUCCCGGGCCUU